rnacentral:lncRNA from 11 species
AAGGAGGAGGAGGAGAGGGCAAGCAGAAGUUGGCGAGCUUGGUGGAAAGGGACGGAGGACAAGUUAGAAAGAGAGCUAACUGAGUGACGGAGAGGUUUUGUAGGGGUAGGGUCAGGAGAGGUAAAGGGGAGGAAAAGGGAGUCGGAGGGAGGCAUAUGAGACAUUCCUUCAGUGAACGGGUCGACCGAGUGUGAGUGCAAGCGAGCCGGUAAAAUCGAUGUGGCGAAGUGUAGCUGUGCCACUACGGCGUGCAAAGGGUGUGCUGUACCCUAUACGUGAUCAGUAAUUUGCCUUGUGACGUUGUGUCGUACAGUCAAAUACAUUAUAGUAUUAGGUGUUCAUUUUUAUGUAUCGACCAAAUCAGAUACGUCUAUGUAAUAAAUAUCCACUAUGUAUCUAAGAAAUAUAAAACAAAAUGUUUUUUUCGAAGUAAUAUACGCAUAUGUUCAUUUUUUAAUGCCGCUAACAUGAAUCAAAAGAUCUUGUCUGACUUGCAUAGUCGUAUUAAGUAUCGUGUAUUGAGAGUGGCACCUGCCUCGGAAUCAGAAGAACAGAGCGCCCUCGCAGUGAUUCUACUAGUUACGCUCCUGAAAUACGCCGUGCCGACGUGUGUUUCAGCCAGUGCGAGGGCGUAUUAGCGAGAUGUAGACCUAGUGGUGGGGAUUGAAAGAACGAAGCGUACGUAUGAGAUGACGGCUCGACGAACGAACAUAACUGGUCAGACCGGCGGCCUGGCAAGAACGUAUAAUAGGUUUAGGUUGAAUCACGAAGUGUUUCUUGCUAUGUAAUCGCGUUUUUACAGUGUAUAGUGCGGUUCUAUACUAUUUAUCAUAGUGUUUAGUUUUCAUUUUAUUCUCACGAUCGUUUACUAAUUGCUCACAUUUGGAUACAUUAUCAAUACAAUUUGUCGAUUAAAAAUUGUUGUGAUGUCUUAUUUGUGUGUUCAUAGCUAGAAGAAUGUUUUUGAGCGAUUUUAUAUUCGCAUAUCUGUGAUUACUAUGAUACAUAUCUUUUUUGUAAUUUAAUAUGUUAUUGUUAUUUCGUUAUACACAAUUUGAUAUUGUGCGCACUUGAUAUCGUGAUUUGAGAUUAUAUCACUUUUGUUAUUGUUAUCACUUUUAUUACAAUUGCGAACUUUGAUAAAAUUACGAAAUAUCGAAGUGUGGAAACCAUUACUAAAAUAGUGUCAGCGUUUAUGCGUGUCUUCUGUUUUCUGACGGCACAGUUGAACAAGACGACGAAAUAGAAGUAUGUACCUCAUACUAUCGAUGCGAUACUCAGACAAGGAGCAACGUUGCAAUAUUUCGGAUACUGUGACAACAUCGCAUCAACUCAGUGUUUCCAUUUCUCGAUAUGACACACAGUACUGUGCCAUUAAUCCGCUGGUGUUGAUUUUAUUCUUAGAACAUUCGGAAAGAGAUUGGCUGAGAAACAACGAAGAUGGGACUGGACAUUCAUUUGACUGUGAAAUUUGUGAUCGACGUUUUAGCAAUUGUCGAUUAAGAUAUCAAGAAAAUCUUCAAAUCGUAAAAAAGUUACUUCAAGGAAAAUUAGCUCGGCAUGGCUCUUUUUCAUUACCUGGAAAAGGAGAAUAUAUCUCUUGGACGUGUUCAUCAGCCCGAUGUUACUUCAUAGAAUCGAGAUGUGGCGACAGUAAAAAAAGGGACGAAAUGGCGAUACGAUUGUAUAGAAAUAUUCCAGAUUACACGUGGAGAUUGGAAUCAAGCAUAGCGAGAAUAGGCAUACAGACCAAACAGAGAACCGAUAAGUAUGCAUACUGAUCAUAGUUAAAAUGAAAGAAAACAAUGAUUUAGGAUUUGGCUAAAAGAAGAUUUGAGGGUACAAAAUGGCAAAUCUUUAGAAUGGGAAACAGAGUCUAUUAAAGCUUUAGAAGUAGGAAUAAAGCUACCGCCAUCUGAUCAGGAAUAUGACAUCCUGGAGAAUAAUGAAAACUAAAAAAUGUAAUGGAAAAUAUAUACGAAUAUAUAAAAAGACGUUUAGAUUGUGAUUAGAUUAGGAUAUUUAUGCAAAACAUUCUUAUAGAUACAAAUAAAAAUUGCGAUUUGAAUAGAAGAGUAAUGUCUUGUUCUUCAAAUAUAGUAAUCUUAUAUAUUAUAUUUUUGCAUAUCUACACUUGUCAUAAAUGCAUAUAUAUCUGCAUUUUAGUGAUAACGAAACGUUUAAGCGUCAUAAGUUUUUGAGGAAAUGAAAUAUCGUGUGAAGUAUUCAGUAUUCGAUAACUUUAUCUUACUACUUUUAUUCGCAGAAUAACUUAAGAAAUCAAUUCAUGGAAAAAAUUUUCCAAUUUACAAAAAAUAGUGCAAUUAACAUUUUGAGAAAAAGAUUCUACUACACGAUUAUAGAGCUCGUCAAACAGCACGAAAUUUUCUGUUAAGAUUUUUUCUAACUUCAUUUAGAGGAGGGAUAAUAUAAUUUGGCUGAAAUGUUAGAAUUCAAAAGCAUUAUGUGUUAUGCAUUAUUCCCAAAAUAUAUCAUUCGACGAAAUCAUACAUUUCAGUUUCGUCGUUGUUAUUAAAAUAGUAUAAAUUAUGUCACGCAUUAUGUGUGAAUAUGUGUAUGUAUACAUAUGUAUAUUUAACAAAAUUUCAAACGGCAUUAUAUUUUAUUUUUUGCUCCAAGUACAGCGCAUAAGGCGCAUUUUUCCUGGGAUGAAUAAAAGAUUGCAUAAAUUGUAUUAUAGUAUCUUGUAACUUGGAUGGUAAGGUCGGAAUAUUCGCCUAAAUAUUCGAUAUAUAAAGUAAUUAUGUCAAAAUAUUUAUCUAUAACUCUUCAUAAAAUACAGAAUGUUACAUAUAAAAAUAUGCCUCUUCUUGCCAUUUUUUACAUAUAAUAGGAAUUGUAGGUAUAUUCGUUAACUGUUACCAAAUACAUACAUAAACAUACAUAUAAGACUGAAAUACUAUUCAAUAUUUUCAUUGAAUGCAAUUAUACUUUUGAAAACUUUAAAUGACUUCAUACAAAUAUAGUAUGUCUAUACAAAAAUUAGUGUACAUUGUUUCAAAUGAUAAUAAACAAUUUAAAGA